rnacentral:rRNA from 17 species
CUGGGUAAGUCGGGGCCUAAGGCCAGGUCGAAAGACGUAACCGAUGGACAACAGGUUGAAAUUCCUGUACUGCCUUAUAACAGAACUGUGGGGACACAUGUUCAGGUCGCGAGCCGGGAAAGGAAAGCCCGGUGCAAGCAGAGGUUAUCGGUGGGAGGCAAACCCCCCACGUAAGAGAAGACUGCGAUGCGGAGCGAAGAAAAGUAGCGAAGAGCGAUGAGAAUGUGUCGAGAAAAGCCGCUAUUGUUUAUAAGGUACCCGUACCGUAAACCGACACA